rnacentral:tRNA from 1 species
GCGGGCGUGGCGGAACCGGUAGACGCAACGGACUUAAAAUCCGUAGGGCAUCGCUCGUGUGGGUUCGAGUCCCACCGCCCGCACCA